GACGAACGCUGGCGGCGUGCUUAACACAUGCAAGUCGAACGGUGAAGCCCUUCGGGGUGGAUCAGUGGCGAACGGGUGAGUAACACGUGAGCAACCUGCCCCUGGCUCUGGGACAACCACUGGAAACGGUGGCUAAUACCGGAUACGACCCGCCUCGGCAUCGAGUGUGGGUGGAAAGUUUUUCGGCUGGGGAUGGGCUCGCGGCCUACCAGCUUGUUGGUGAGGUGAAGGCUCACCAAGGCGACGACGGGUAGCCGGCCUGAGAGGGCGACCGGCCACACUGGGACUGAGACACGGCCCAGACUCCUACGGGAGGCAGCAGUGGGGAAUAUUGCACAAUGGGCGAAAGCCUGAUGCAGCGACGCCGCGUGAGGGAUGACGGCCUUCGGGUUGUAAACCUCUUUCAGCUCCGAAGAAGCGAAAGUGACGGUAGGAGCAGAAGAAGCACCGGCUAACUACGUG
rnacentral:rRNA from 1 species